rfam:Oryza sativa Japonica Group DNA, chromosome 2, cultivar: Nipponbare, complete sequence.
AACAACUACAAUUCUGUACUAUUCAUAUCUAACGUUUGACCGUUCGUCUUAUUUAAUUUUUUUUAUGAUUAGUAUUUUUAUUGUUGUUAGAUGAUAAAAUAUAAAUAAUACUUAUGUAUGACUAUUUUUUUUUUAAUUUUUUCAUAAAUUUUUUAAAUAAGACGGACGGUCAAACAUUGGACACGGAUACCUAUUGCUACACUUAUU